rnacentral:lncRNA from 11 species
AUCUGGGCUUGUGCAGGACUCAGACUCCAUUUUAAGAACAGUAUGCUUAGAGACUUCAGUAGAAACAGUACAGUUUAGAUGCCAUUAGACUCAGACUGUACAGACUCCAUUAGACUUUGAGAGAUGCUUUAGACUUUGGACUGUUGAUUAUGAGAAAGAUGCCCUCUGUUAUCUGCACAAACUACUUCAAAACCUAUCUGCAGCUGAACUGAUGAGAAAUGUACUUGGAUGCUGAAUACAUGAAUUUAAAUACCCCCCUCCUUAAGAUAUGCAGCAAGACAGGAAAAGAGAGAACAAGAGAGGAGAAGGAUAGUAUGAGGAAACAACAGCAUGACUGCAGAAAAGUGAUUUUUUUUCAAAUUGUUGUCAACAAUACGUUCCCAUUUGCUUCAACAAUGUGAUUGCUCUGAGGCAACACGCU